rnacentral:lncRNA from 1 species
UGAUUUCAAGACUUGUUUUUUCAACACUUUCCAAUAUUGAUUCAUGCCAAAAAAUCAAAAUUUGAUUCGUGAGUUUACACCAUUCAAAAGUACUUAUUUUCAACACAAAAUCACUUCUCAAAAGUACUUAAAGUCAUGAGAUAAUUCACCAAAAAUUCAUGGCAAAAGUGGCAAAAAAUCAAAGGCAAAAACAUUCAAAAAUUC